rnacentral:rRNA from 1 species
UUGACCUCAAAUCGAGUAGGACUACCCGCUGAACUUAAGCAUAUCAAUAAGCGGAGGAAAAGAAACUAACAAGGAUUCCCCUAGUAACGGCGAGUGAAGAGGGAAGAGCUCAAAUUUUGAAUCUGGCGUCUUUGGCGUCCGAAUUGUAAUCUAGAGAAGUGUUUUCCGUGACGGACCGUGCACAAGUCUCCUGGAAUGGAGCGUCAUAGAGGGUGAGAAUCCCGUAUAUGGCAUGGACUGCCGUUGCUCUGUGAUACACUCUCGACGAGUCGAGUUGUUUGGGAAUGCAGCUCUAAAUGGGUGGUAAAUGCCAUCUAAAGCUAAAUAUUGGCGAGAGACCGAUAGCGAACAAGUACCGUGAGGGAAAGAUGAAAAGCACUUUGGAAAGAGAGU